AGAAUCAACGCUGGCGGCGUGCCUCAGACAUGCAAGUCGAACGAUUAAACUUUCCUUCGGGAAAGAUAUAAAGUGGCGCACGGGUGAGUAACACGUAGGUAAUGUACCUUUGGGUGGGGAAUAACUUAGGGAAACUUAAGCUAAUACCGCAUAAUGCAGCGGCUCCUUCGGGAGACAGCUGUUAAAGAUUUAUCGCCUAAAGAGCAGCCUGCGGCAGAUUAGCUAGUUGGUAAGGUAACGGCUUACCGAAGGCUAACGAUCUGUA
rnacentral:rRNA from 1 species